AAUGGCAUCAGCUAAGCUCAAUGCUCUUCUUCAGACCAAAGUGAUUGCAAAUCAAGAUGAGGCAUGCUAUAUUUUAGGGAAACUAGAACAUAUUCUAAGUCGGUCAAUCAAGGAGCAGACAGAAAUCUACUCAUUUCUGAUUCCUCUUCUCCGGACUCUGGUUUCUAAAAUUUAUGAACUUCUUUUCAUGAACCUGCACCUGCCUUCCUUGCCUUUCACUAAUGGCAGCACUUCAGUUUUUGAAGAUUUUCAAGAAUACUGCAAUUCAAAUGAAUGGCAAGUUUACAUUGAAAAAUACGUAAGUUUUUAAAAUUAUUUUUAAUGAUUUGUUUAUGUGCAUAUAUGUGUAUAUAUGCAGGUGUGUGCUCAUGCAGGCACAAAACCUAGUGUGUGAGUCCCUCGAGCUAGAGUUAGAGGAGUGCUCUGUGAGUGCCGGGACAUGAGCUCUAGGCCUUGUGCUUGCUCCCAGCAAGUGCUAUUUACCUGGAGCCAUCUCUCCAGUCUCAGAGUUUAUCUUCUCUGAGCAAGACUUUCCGGCCGACAUCAUUUUUAUAGAGGAGUGUGUAAAUUCUGUGUAUUCCUUCUUUUUUUUUUUAAACUAAGAUUGUACCUUACAUGAAGCAGUAUGAAGCACACACAUUUUAUGAUGGUCAUGAGAACAUGGCACUUUACUGGAAGAAUUGUUAUGAAGC
rnacentral:lncRNA from 1 species